AGAAGUUCCAUGCUUGAUGGAAGCUUUGAAGCACCCAAUGGCCUUGUGAAUAGCAAGAAUGUGUGAAUCCCAUCUCUAAUAGACUGAAGUGUUUGUAGAAAUGGUAAUGGAUACCAAAGAAAAAAUCUGUGAUGACCUUUGCCCAUUUUCCAAUGUGGAAGUCAAGGAUCAACCCAUGGUUUCUACCGGGAAGACUUUGAAGUCUUGGAUUUUCCUCAAGAUUCUAGACCUGGGAUCACUCUCAGGAUGCUGAGCUUGUGACUUCUGUUCCUCCUUCUGUUUACCUUGUUCCUUAUGGACCUCACUUUCCCACUUCUCCAGAUGUCUCAUUGAAGGUGAUGUGGGUGGCAGGGAGGUAACAAUUCAUACCAGGAAGAAUAUAGGGUGGACCUGGUUUACUGGCAAACUACUGUGAUGCUUAGCUACCCCAUGUUUAGAAGCCUCUGAAGUCUCUUUCUCCAUUUCUAAUGAGUACUAAAGGUAGUGAUAUUAGGAAGAUGCCAAUCCAAGCCAAUGGGAAGUCAGUAGUUGCUUUUUUAUUUUAUUUUAAAAUAUUUUAAAGCAAAUUAUAAAACAUAAAAACAAACUAUUUCAAUCAUUACAAAACAAUUUACAAAAAAUUUCCCUCCCCAUUCCCUCUUUGUUUUGCUUGUAGUUUCAUUUAAGAGCAGUUCAUUGAUGAGUUUUCUUUAAAUGCUUUUCUUUGCUAAUUGAGGUACAUGGUUGUGACUCUUGCCACCCCUCCCAAGUUAGUAGUCUUCUUGAACCUGCAAUCCAGAGCAAAGUGUUUUUGAGAACACAAAGAUGUGACUAACUGGUGGUUGAUUACCUGUACCAGCUUCUGUGAUCCUCUCCUUGCCAAUCCAGCCUGGGGGCAAAGGACAGGAAUGAAAGGGGAUACAAAUGAUGCCUUGAUGUUUGCUUCACUUAGUCAAGCUAUAAAUGCAUCAAUAGCUUUGCCCUGUGUGUUUGUAAUAUACAAAGACAGCAAGCAUGUCUUCAUAUAUUCCGUUAAUUAAAGUUGUUCCAUUAUGCCCUUUUCCUAGUUAAGGUCUGGUAUGGUAACUCAGCCUUACAUGGUGCUUCUGUUGCCCUGCAACAAGGGAACAGCAAAAUACAGACAAGUUUGUGAGUCAUUUUAAAGUUCCAAAUUAUCAAAUAGAGGUCUGAUCAGUUCCAUGACUUGCCGCAGACAAUGUUUUAUUCAGAAAAGGAAGUGAAUUUAGGCGUAACUUUAAAUAACGCAUAUCGGAGGUAACCUCUCAAAUUAUAUAGAAUUUGACAUAAUUAAACAGUUAUUUCAUACUACAA